UCCCGGCCUGCGGCGGCGGCGGCGGCGACUGCAGCGGCCGAGGCAGGGACGCAUCAUGCGGCCGCGCUCAUGGCCGGGCCGGAGCGGGCCCCGCGGCUCGGCUCGGCUUGGUCCCCUGGGUCCCGCCGGGCAGGUCGGAAGGAGGCUGCCGCCGGGCAGGUCGGAAGGAGGCUGCAGCCAAGCAAAUGCCUGAGCCCGGAGCCUUGGCUGGAGAGCGGGGCGGUGCGAGCGCCGGAAGUGAACCCGACGAGACUAACAGGACCAGAGAGGUUGAGCAGUGUGCUCCCGGUCACACAGUGAAGAGGUGGAGAGCCAGGAUGCCGCCCCAAAUGUGCCUUGAACUUCUUAGCUGCUGUUAUACC
rnacentral:lncRNA from 1 species